UUUGAAGCAACAGGCGACAUGCCCCUAAAAUUUACCCUCACGUCUGUUUCUUUUCCCUCUUUCAUAUGUGGGAGAAAGAUCGAAACGGAUCCCUCAACUAUGAGUCUCCCUCAAUCUUUCUUCUCUAUUUCAAUUACUUUAGAACCAACAACCUCAACUAUUUUCUUCUUCGUGUUUCUUCGGUUCUUCUUGUGCUUCGAUUUAAGCCCAAAAUGGCUUGGUGCUUGGAGAAACUCGACGCCGCCGUAUUUGAAGUUGCCCAGUUGGGCUACUGUUUUUGUAGCGGAACAAAGACAAAAAUAGGUGGAAGAUGAGAUUCUCGAAGUGGGUUUUUGCUGGGCUGGUUUGUACUGCUUUGGUUUUGGAUUUUGGAUCUGAGGAGGAAUUGAGAGGAUUUCAUUGAUUACUUGUUUAAGCUUUUGCUGAUUGGAGACUCCGGGGUUGGGAAGUCGUGUCUUCUUCUGAGGUUUGCUGGAAAGAAAGGAAUUUGGCUCAAAUUGUCGGUAAAGAGAGCUGAGCUUGUUACAGUUGCUAUUAAGGAAGGAUUCCAGUACCACCAUGCAGAACGAGGAUAUGCGAUGUUGACAUACUGGAUCCCAGAAGGACCUUGCAUGCUUCUGGCUAAUGCUUCACAUCCCAUAACACCCUUAUAAAAAUCUUAUGUAGAUUGGUGCAUGUCUCAUAUUAUAUAUUGAUUGCGUUAAAUUUACUAGGCUGCAUGACACAACUAGUAGACACAUGAGAUAUUCGUAAAAUCUAUCAAUGUCGAAACGCAUUAA